GGGGGGCAGACGAAGGCGACAGGUACGAGAUGGGCGGAGGAAUCCAUGCACAGAUUCAGGGAAACUGGCAGAUGAGGGUGUCAAGGAAAGACACCAUGCAUCCGUGAAGGUGUGUGGGCAACCAGACAGAGAGAGCUGGUGGAUGGACAGCGUGGAUGGCGGGGUUGGGGGAGGAGCUGAAGAAAGUGUGUUACACGGUGCGGAUGGAGGAGUUAAUGGGAGGCUACGGAAGGUGUGGGGUGAGCAAGUGGGAAGGAGAAGAGAAUAGGCGAAAGCGAAGCUGAGAGUGGGUGGUGCAGGGCCCGGAGUGCCAGGAGGAGGGGCCGGACUCCUCCCGACCAAGAAGCGGGGCUGGGGGUCAUCGCGAGCGCCGUCUGGGCCACCCACGCCCCGUAGCGCACUGAGGGGGGCCGUGGGGACAGAUGGGGCUGUGGGGACACGGCAGGCCGUCCUGCCCCUGGCGCUCCAGGGAAUGCUGUUUUGUUUGGCCGUACUCUGUAAGGGGAGGAGGGGACAGGCUCAGUGACGCAGGGUCAGCGCCCAGAGGGAUCCAGGAGUCCAGCCAAGGCCUCCUGACCCCAAGGCCGUGAGGUGCCCUUGCAAGUGCCCACGACUGGCUGCAAACAAUGUCCAGAGCAGCAGGCCAGGAGACGUGCAGCCGGACGGACAGAUGGCCACCAGCGCGGAGCCUUGCAUUCAGUUCAGAAACCUGUGACCUACCUACAACCCUCGGCAGAUGGGCCUGCCCGGGGCCAGUCGGCGCCCACAGGAGCCUCACCGCCACGCCCAGGUCCACAGGCUUCUGGCGGGACUGGCAGGAGGGCCCCGGAGGCAGAGCUGAGGCUGGGGGGCUUCCCCCGGAUUCCCUGGGACCCCCUUCCCUUGUUGCCUCUGCAGCACACAUGCAUUCUCACGCACACACAGCUGUGCACAUGUGCACGGACACACUCAUACACUCACACAUCCACACACACAAUUACACAUGCACACACACCCUUACACAGACACACAUGCAUUCUCACGCCUGCACAUCUCAAGCACACACAUACGUGCUCACACCUAUAUGCACGCACACACUCUUGCACACACACUCACGCCCUCGUGCACACUCACACGUGCCCACACGCAUGCACACUCAUUGGACACAGUCCCUGUCCGAUAGAGCCCAGGGCUGGGUACACUAG
rnacentral:lncRNA from 1 species